GGGAUGUAGCAAUACAUCUAGUGGCGAACGGGUGAGUAACGCGUGGAUGAUCUACCUACGAGAUGGGGAUAACUAUUAGAAAUAGUAGCUAAUACCGAAUAAAGUCAAUUAAUUUGUUAAUUGAUGAAAGGAAGCCUCUAAAGCUUUGCUUGUAGAUGAGUCUGCGUCUUAUUAGUUAGUUGGUAGGGUAAAUGCCUACCAAGGCGAUGAUAAGUAACCGGCCUGAGAGGGUGAACGGUCACACUGGAACUGAGAUACGGUCCAGACUCCUACGGGAGGCAGCAGCUAAGAAUCUUCCGCAAUGGGCGAAAGCCUGACGGAGCGACACUGCGUGAAUGAAGAAGGUCGAAAGAUUGUAAAAUUCUUUUAUAAAUGAGGAAUAAGCUUUGUAGGAAAUGACGAAGUGAUGACGUUAAUUUAUGAAUAAGCCCCGGCUAA
rnacentral:rRNA from 1 species